UCUCAUUGUGGUUUUGAUUGGUAUUUCCCUGAUGAUGAGUGAUGUGGAACAUCUUUUCAUAUGUCUGUUAUGGGUAAACAAACUGAAGUCCAAAGCUGUUGUGAUUCUUCAAGCUCACAGUUAAUGUAAUUGGAUAUAGAAUCAAGAUCUACAGUGAAGGCUCUUAAAUGAGUUCGAUGAUAGUGGAAGAAGGGCUAAAUACAGUCGAGAUGUUUAGACAGGAAGAACACUGAAGACUAGGACUAGGCCUUACACCCAAGAAGCGCUGCCUUCCAAGCUGUUCCACUCCGUUGUCCGUAGAAUGAAACCCGCACCUGCUUGGCUGCUCCGCGAGGCCCUUUGGGAUGUGGCCCUUGUCUGCCUUUAGGCAUCAUCUCCUGCUCUCCCAGACUUCACUCUGUGGCUCAAGCCCAGGGCCUCCCCAGAUCCCAACGUAUCAGUGAGAUUGUAUCCAGCUGCAUCUAACAGACACUCACCUGUGAUGGCUUAACUGAAAAUAGAGCUGGGGUUAGCGGAGCUGCUGGAGGAAGGCAACGGGCUCCUGCCAUCUUCCCGCCCUGCGAUCCUCAGCAUGUGCCUUUCAUCGCUCACAGGCCCGUGGGGUUGCUACACUUUUAGACGCUGAAUCUGCGCUCCAGAAAAGAAGAGAAGAGGAAAUAGGGCAAUAACAUGCAAAAGGCACCUGCCAGCUAAAUCUGGCCUUUUCCAUCGGGAAAUCAGUAGCCUUCCCCCCAACACAACCCAGUGGAUUCACAUUUCCUCGACCAGAACCGGGUCAGGUGGGCUCCCAGCGCAUAUCUGCAAAAGAGUCUGGAGAGGCUGAAGAACCAUCCCUAAUCAGGAACGUUACGCUCUCAUGGUAGAGGGCGGGAACACGAAAUCAAAGUUGAAGAAUACGCGUGACACCUUUUAGGACCUCUGCUUGGAUACAGCAGACCACACUCCUUUCCACUCACAAUUCCACAAACAAGAGCAAGCCACACGGCCAAGCAUAGCGUCAAGCAGAGUGAACGUGACAUGACCUGCCACUUUUUCCCUAAGUGCGGGCUUACGGGAGAGUUUGAAUUUGGAGUUGGAAAGAUUGGCGUUCUCGCCCUGAAUCAAUCCUUUCACGUGCGUGGCCUUUGCCUGCUUACUUUCCCUCUCUUAACCUCAAUAUUCUCAUGUAUGAAGUGGGGAGCAUAAUAGAAGUUUGUGGUAUCAUCAAAUGAAGUAAAAUGUGCAAAUGUAAUAUUAAUGAUGAUAUUAAUAGCCAGUACACUUUUCCCUAUUGUCUUGAUGAUUUCAUUUAUUCACAGAUUUCACAACUUAAUAUCCACGGUUAAUAUAGAUACAGAUACACUUUAUAAUUAAGUCUAUCCGAUAAAAAUAUAUCACGCUCUAGCAUCAUUAUCCUUCUAUCAUUAGUUUUGGGAGAACAUGCUUCUCCUAAUUCACCAAACUGGCAGAAUUUCACCUCGUUGUGAAUCUCUGCAUACAGGGAUGUUGGGCUUCUUGCCACAGGAUUUUUCACAUCCAGAAUAUCCACACAUUUCCUCCCUAGUGUGAAGUCUAUGCUGUCUAAUUAGACUUGCCUUCGGAGAGAAUGUUUCCCACAGUCAGAGCACGCAUAGGAUUUCUUUCCCUCCAAACCUUAUUUUCUUUUCCA